rnacentral:sRNA from 1 species
CAUUCUGCGCGCUGUGGAUGUUAUAAUCAGCUAAUUCUCAUAAGCAGAACUGGAUAACCGAUAUCAUCAUUGUACAUUCAGAGCACUGUGGGA